rnacentral:tRNA from 1 species
UUAGUCGAAACCAAAAAGAGGUAUAUCACUGUUAAUGAUAAAAUUGAAUAAUAUUCCGCCUAAA